CCAUGCAGUCGACGAUGACUCUCUAGCUUGCUAGAUAUGAUUAGUGGCGGACGGGUGAGUAACAUUUAGGAAUCUACCUAGUAGUGGGGGAUAGCUCGGGGAAACUCGAAUUAAUACCGCAUACGACCUACGGGUGAAAGGGGGCGCAAGCUCUUGCUAUUAGAUGAGCCUAAAUCAGAUUAGCUAGUUGGUGGGGUAAAGGCCCACCAAGGCGACGAUCUGUAACUGGUCUGAGAGGAUGAUCAGUCACACCGGAACUGAGACACGGUCCGGACUCCUACGGGAGGCAGCAGUGGGGAAUAUUGGACAAUGGGGGCAACCCUGAUCCAGCCAUGCCGCGUGUGUGAAGAAGGCCUUUUGGUUGUAAAGCACUUUAAGCAGGGAGGAGAGGCUAAUGGUUAAUACCCAUUAGAUUAGACGUUACCUGCAGAAUAAGCACCGGCUAACUCUGUGCCAGCAGCCGCGGUAAUACAGAGGGUGCGAGCGUUAAUCGGAAUUACUGGGCGUAAAGCGAGUGUAGGUGGCUCAUUAAGUCACAUGUGAAAUCCCCGGGCUUAACCUGGGAACUGCAUGUGAUACUGGUGGUGCUAGAAUAUGUGAGAGGGAAGUAGAAUUCCAGGUGUAGCGGUGAAAUGCGUAGAGAUCUGGAGGAAUACCGAUGGCGAAGGCAGCUUCCUGGCAUAAUAUUGACACUGAGAUUCGAAAGCGUGGGUAGCAAACAGGAUUAGAUACCCUGGUAGUCCACGCCGUAAACGAUGUCUACUAGCCGUUGGGGUCCUUGAGACUUUAGUGGCGCAGUUAACGCGAUAAGUAGACCGCCUGGGGAGUACGGCCGCA
rnacentral:rRNA from 1 species